rnacentral:rRNA from 1 species
UCUUAGAUAUAAAUUAACCUUAUUUACCAGAGUACUACGAACAUUAAGUUUAAAACUCAAAGAGCUUGGCGGUGCUUUAGACUCCUCAGGGGAACCUGUCCCGUAAUCGACAGUCCACGAACCAACCUCACCUUUUCUAGCAAAUCAGUAUGUAUACCGUCGUCGUCAGGUAACUUUUCAAAAUAUAGAAGUUAGCAAUUAAAAAAUUAAUUUUCUACGUCAGAUCAAGGUGCAGCCUAUGAAAAGGAGCGGAUGGGUUACAAUUAACACUUAUAACUACCAAUUUAACUUUUAACAGGUUUCUGAAGGCGGACUUGAAAGUAAAGCUUAGCAGCUAAAUGCCUUGAAUCAAGCUCUGAAGCG